AAUCCAUGAUGGGGGCACUUAUGUAUCAUUGAUUUGAAUCGUUCCCUUGUUUCGUACAAUGUUUCUCCUUCAAAUUGUUUAAAAUUUGCGAUGUCACGUCUGAGCU
rfam:Gossypium hirsutum cultivar TM-1 chromosome 25, whole genome shotgun sequence